rnacentral:rRNA from 1 species
AUUGAACGCUGGCGGCAGGCCUAACACAUGCACGUCGAACGAGUGGCGGCCGUGUUGGUAAUGUCUGGGAAUGUGACUGAUGGAUAGGGAUCACUACUGGAAACUGACGCUAAUAACGCACACCAUCGGAUGUGUCCAGAUGGGAUUAGCUAGUAGGUGGGGUAAAGGCUCACCUAGGUGAGGAUCCAUAGCUGGUCUGAGAGGAUGACCAGCAACACUGGAACUGAGACACGGUCCAGACUCCGACGUGAGGCAGCAGUGGGGAAUAUUGCACAAUGGGCGAAAGCCUGAUGCAGCCAUGCCGCGUGUAUGAAGAAGGUCUUCGGGUUGUAAAGUACUUUCAGUUGGGAGGCGUUACCCGCAGAAGAAGCACCGGCUAACUUCGUGCCAGCAGCCGCGGUAAUAC